GUGGCAACUCCCUCCAGUAUAUGAAAGGAGCAUGAAAGCCUUCCAGUACCUGAAGGAAACCUACAAGAAAGACAGACAGGCUUUUUAAAGGGCAUGUAGUGACAUGACAAAGCACUGGAUGACUCUGUCUUAUCAUGUGUAAGGAUUGAGCUCAGCUACCACAUACUUCCUACAUGAAAUCAUCAUGUUCCAGGUAUCCCAGUACUUGCACACUUGAAUCAGCUGAGGCUGAUCUCACCUUCUACUUUUUAUGCGUCCAUCCUUGAGAUCAAUAGAAAAAAGCCACCACACUAUGAUUAUCUACUUAGCAACUUAUUCAAGACAAAGCAAAACUACCUACAGACUUGAACACCUUCAGGACCAGGUAGAGAGAUCUGGACCCAGGUAUAGUCCAGGUCUGUAUUGCUUUUGUGUGGCCAGGUUUUGGUAGAGUGGGGGGACUAUAAGAGAGGAUUCUAUGAGAAGCUGACAGAAGGUUCCCCAGCAUCUGACAGAGCCAAUGGGCACAGAUUGGACCCACCACUGGCCAAGACUAAGCACAUUAGAGAAGAUAAUAACACCUCAUUAACAUAUUGAAAAUAUAACUUUUUUAAGAAGGAAGAAAAAGGAUUUUGAAGAUGUAGUUUCACUCACAGAAGACCAGAGAGAAAAUAUGUAAGAGGAACAACCCUGCAGACACCAAGGUCAGUGCAGAAGGAGUGACAGGAGAUGUUCCAGGCUCCAGAGCUGAGGUUCCCUUGCAGCCCAUGGUGCAGACACGGUGAGGCAGCUGUGCCUCUGCAGCCCCUGGAGGUCCCUGGGGAUGCAGAGAUCCACCUGCAGCCCCUGGAGGAGACCCACGCUGGAUCAGGUGGAUGCCUGAGAUGAGGCUGUGAGCCUGUGGGAGGCCUGUGCUGGAGCAGGGUCCCAGCAAGGACCUGCCCACCCAUGGAAAGAGGAGGCCGUGCUGGAGGACUUGUUCCUGGUAGGACAUGUGACCCUGCAGGGAAGCCCCACUGGAGCAGGUUGUACUUGAAGGACUGCACACCGUGCAAAGGGACCCACACUGGAGUAGUUCCUGAAGAACUAUAGUCCACGGGAGGGACUCAGGCUGAAGUUAAUUAAAAACUGUGUCCCAUGGGAGGAACCCCACAAUGGAGCAGGGAAAGGAUUCCUCUCCCUAAGCAGCACCAGGGACAAUAUGUGAUGAACUGAGCAUAACUUUCAUUCCUAUCUCCCUGCACCACUGCAGAGAGGAGGCAGCACCCAGCAAGGAGAGAGAGAAUUUCCAUCUCCUGAUGCCAUGUCAUUGUCUGAAAAAAACACAAAAGUAAAGGUGGAUUUCAUGAACAUGAGAGCUUUAAAAUACUAUCCUACAGCAAUGUCCCUGGUUUUAUGAAUACUUUGGAAAAUCCUUAACUGGUAUGUUUGCAGAAAACUCAGUAAAUUACCUCCAAUUACCUAAUUGCAAAAUUUCUACCAAAUUAAAGCAUAAGUCAUAUCUGUUUUCUAAUAGUUUAAGCAUAAGGCUGAUGAGUUGACUUCAGUUUCCAGUUCUGACUGUAACACUCACUCCAGCGUGACACAGGACCAAGCAACACAUCCUCAAUAACUACAGCAAUAAAUUAAACCCCUGCAGCUAUUCUCUGACUGAGGCCAGCUGGCAUGGAAUAGCCUGGUGUGUGCCACUAACUCUCUUACUCUCCAAAAAUAGGUAAAAGAUACUCAGUUUGUCAGCUGGAAUGAGUCCCUGGCUGAGGCUGAUUCCUAAGCUGUGACUGAGGUUGUUUGGCACAGUUAGCUGGCUGGGGACACAGUGUACAGUCCACUGUUUGACCGUGAAAGGAGUAAAAUUGCAAUGUACAGGACCUCUGACACCUUUCAGUUCGCUAGGCAUAUGUAGGCAUAGUGGUCUUUGUAAAACAUAUGGGUCAGAAACUUGCCUGUUUAAAACACAGAAGUAUUUACAGCUGUUUUAAUUCACUGAUGAUCACUUAGAUGCUAUAAUUACCUCUGAAGACCACUUUCAAAUGAAACCCUGUGUGACCACCCCAUGGACUUCUGCUCGUAGUGUCCCUGCUCUGCUAACAGUGACAGACCUCUGAGGACAGAAGUAAUUGGGAAACUUUUGCAAGGCUAAAAAACACUGUUUGUUUCCAUGCAGUGGAUAUCUCGUCCUGGCUGGGAUAAAUCAAGCAGUUAAACAUCGAGGCAGCAGGAAGUUUGGGACAAAAGGAAAGUGAGUAAGAGAAAAGAGGAGGAGGAACUGAUGCAAAUAGGCUAUCUGGGAAGGUUUGGAAUAUAGGCUAGAUAGAGAAAAAAACAAGCACACUCAUUAUUUUGGCACCUUUAGUAAUAAAUAGAAGAAGGAAAGGCAAAAGAGCACAAUCAUGUAGCAAAAUACAAAAAUAUCAGGGCUGAUUAGGCUUGCAAGAGGUUUUUUUGGAGAUUAUUUUAAAUGUGAUAGAAGCUGCAGAAAUUUGCUUCACUCUAACUUUCUCUAAGCAAAGAAAGAGAGAAAGAGAAAUCUUGUAUUAAGACAGUAAACUCUACACAGCUAAAUAUAACAGAAGAAAAUUUAAAAUUGCACACAAGCUGCAUUGGAGAAGAAAUGAAAUCCAAAGAUUUUUAGGUGAAACCCCAUAAAAGAGGACAAUAGACCUAGAAUUAAAUCUCUGGGGGUUUUUGAGUUUUUUUUUUCUUCUACACAUUUGUAUUUAUUUUGGUUUGUGUUCAUUUUAGAGUAAACAUCAUUCAGUCAAACAUACUUCAGUAUCAUCAGGUGUGAAAAAAGGCACUUAAUCCCACCUCUACAAACUUAAGUGAUCUUUCCUUGGUGCAUCAAAAACACUCCAGGUUGUCACACCUGCUUUUUUUUAUUAUUUUUAUUUUAAUUCUGGACAUAUCUAUUACAAGCUUCAGACAUAAAUGUAAAGGAAAUAAAUUAUUCCAGUGAUACUGUGACAAAUGACUACAAUAAAACAUUUAAUAAAACCGUUCACUGACAGCUGAAAACAUAUUACACUCUGUCCUCAUGGGGCAAAAGGAACAUUGUUUUUACUAUGCAUUAUCUAACACUAGUAAAUGCAAUGUAGUGAAAUCCUGAACUGAUGUGCAAGCCGUAGCACAGCCUCCUGCUGCACAGGUGAUGUACUGCUAGCACAUACAGCAGUUGCAAAAUAUUUCAAAAUGUUUCUAGCAUGUGUCACCGCUCACCUAAUUCCUUGCCACAUGUUAAGGAAUAACAAAAAUAAACGUACCUUGUGUUGUUAAUGGUUUGCACAGCUCUACCAGAGUACCUACCACUCACACACAGAGUGGUAGCACAUCAUGGGAAAGGUGUUUUCUCCUAAAAUCAACUGUCCCACAAA